CAAGGGAAAGCAAUGGAGCCGAAGAAGAGGAAGUAACUCAGUGUACUGAACAAUUAAUGGACUCACUCCAUAUAUGCUACCAUCCCUUCAUUAUUUGUUGGAAAUGCAAGUACAGGAGGGGAAGUGAAUCAGAAGUUAAUCAUGCCCUGAGUACAGGAGUGUAGAUUUACCACUAAUCAGGACUCAUGAAGGAUAAUGCUACACCAGGAAGUACCUCAACUGAAGAAAAAGUUGAGAUUGUGAUUGCUCCACCUGAUAAGAAACUGGCUGUUACGUUUUGACAUUGGAAUGAAUGCUAAUAUCUUCCUUUUCUGAAUACAUACCCUUUUACAAUCCUUCAUGUAACCAAUUCUUUAAAUUUUGCUAACAGUACUAUUUUUCUUUUAUUUUGAAUCAUCAGAGUUUAAUGUGGAUGUCUCGAAGGAGUCUUCAAUCUCAAUGGUACUAUGUGGGAAUGUUAACCAAAAACAAAUUGGAUCUUCAACUAGAGAAGAAGAACCUGUGCUGGUAAUAAAUUCUACAUCAUCCUCAGAAGCUGAAAGAAUUUACGAGGAAGAUAAAGAUUAUAUAGCAGCUAAGCUAUCAAAGGAAG